UACGUAGGGGGCAAGCGUUGUCCGGAAUCAUUGGGCGUAAAGAGCGUGUAGGCGGCCCGGUAAGUCCGCUGUGAAAGUCCAGGGCUCAACCCUGGGAUGCCGGUGGAUACUGUCGGGCUAGAGUCCGGAAGAGGCGAGUGGAAUUCCCGGUGUAGCGGUGAAAUGCGCAGAUAUCAGGAAGAACACCCGUGGCGAAGGCGGCUCUCUGGGACGGUACUGACGCUGAGACGCGAAAGCUAGGGGAGCGUACAGG
rnacentral:rRNA from 1 species